AUUUCCUUAUUUUUAAAAUUUUAGUCAACAAAAUGGUCAAAUUUCUAUUCAUUUGAUUCCCCUUUCAAAGUCUUAUUUUCUUUGAAUUAUGGCCCAAUCUUGUUUUAAGAAAAAUAAAUAUUAUUUCUUUUAUAUGUUACUUUGAUUAAUUAUUAUAAUUAAUAGACUAACUCGUUUACCUUUUGAGAUUUCCUUUUCUUUUCUCAGAUAGAGAGACUGAUUUGUGUUGGUUUGCUCACUUUACAUAAGACUAGAGAAAAACCGUUUCAAGUAUUCGCUAGCAAAACAUUCAUAUUUUACACGGUCUAAAGUGAAUAAAGUUGCUACGGACUCAUCACUCCUUACUUGGACUACUAAGAGGACUCGUUCAAAAAUGGACUCCAGUUUGAUCAACGCAGUGGUUUCAUCUGAACCAAUUCCCCCUUCAUAUGUCAUGGUCAAUCCUAGUUCCUCUACUGAAAUAGAAUCAUACUUGGAAGUCAUUGCUUGUUUAGAGAAAUAGAUUGAUGAAAUGAGUCUCAUGGUAACCCAAUAUCAAGAUGCUUUUCAAAACCUACCCCCCUGCUGCUCGCCAGAUUGGAUCCGUGCCAUAUUCGUUUCAAACUUCAAGUGAGUUUGAGCAGAGAGACCAUUUCACUACUUCUGGUCAAACUCAAAUUGCUUUGUUCGUUCGUCCAACUCAGGAUGGUCCCCUUCUGUACACAUUUGCUCCUCCAAAAUCUCCAAUGGUGUCACUGCCACAUCAUGCUCCGACAACGUACACUUAUGUUACUACUCCACCUUUUACCAAGAUUCAGGGAUUACACCGUCAGGAUGUUGAUCGCUACAUUGAUAUUUAAAAUAAUUCAAAAUUAGUUGAUGUUGAAAUGAUGAAUGAGAAGAUAAAAAGCAUAGAAGAUGCUAUGAGAGGUCUUCGUGGGUUUGAUAGUAACCACAAAGUGAAAUAUGAAUAGUUGUGCACAUUCCUUGAGGUUGAUCUGCCACCCGGCUACAAGAUUUCAAAGUUUGAAAAGUUCAGCGGAUCAGAAAAUCCUUUCUUCCAUUUGAAAAUUUACUGCGAAAUAUUGAUUGGUGUUGGAAACAAUGAAGGAAUAAGAAUCAAAUUAUUCUAUCAAAGUUUGACCGGAAAAGCUUUGGAAUAGUACUCCAAGAAGGAUGUGACUAAGUAGCGUACUUGGGAUGAUUUAGCAAAUGCUUUUGUGGAUCACUACAAAUUUCAUGUUGAGAUCGCUCCUAACAAAAUCUCUACUAAAAAGCUAAAACCAAAGUCAACGGAAUGUUUCUGAGAAUAUACAAUACGUUGGAAGGAAGAAGCGUCUAGGGUGCACCCACCUAUGGAGGAAUCGGAGAUGAUCACCUACUUCCUUCAAGCCCAAGACUCAGAAUACUACGAACGAAUGGUGACAAUGGGUGGAAAGACAUUUGCUGAAGUUAUCAAAAUUUGAUAAAUGAUUGAAGAUGGUCUCAAGAUUGGGAGGAUAACGAGUCUGACCACAUCUCAAUUCACUAACAGAGCCUUCCAAACUAGUCCUUUUGGAGGUGGAAAGAGAAAAGAGAAAGAAGUUAUGAUGACAACGACUCAGGGAUCUACCUCAUAUAACCGUCAACCACCUCUAGGUUAUACUGCUUCACAAUAUCAUGUCUACAAUACACAAGCAACUUAUCAUGCUCCAUGAUCGAUGCAAAAUUUUUGCAACAAUGUACCUCGUCUAAACUUCAAGAAGAAACCCUCCUCGAGUCUUCACUCCGUUGGCAGAAUCACGAACUCACCUUUUUGAGCGGUUGAAAGAGGCAGGAAUACUCCAUCCAAUAGAAGCUAAGAAUGUGAAUACUUUAGGUGAUUGGUAGGACCCAAGUAAACGUUGUGCCUAUCACUCAGGAGUCAUUGGAUAUGAUACCGAGAAGUGUAUGACACGCAAGCGCAAAUUGUACGACUUGAUUGACAAUAAGGUGGUUAAAAUUGCAGAAGCUCCACCAAAUGUGAACAAUAACCUGUUGCCCAAGCAUAAUGAGUAGUCGUUGGUAUAACCAGUCAUAAAGAAGAAUGAAAUUUUCUAGGAGUUGCAAUUUUGGCAUCUUCAAAUUAUGCAAUUAGAGUUUGUUGCUUUCUUUCCCUGUAAUCUCAAUUUAUUGCUUUGUUUCGUUUGUAAUCGCACUUCUUUGUUUGUAUUUGAGUUAUGUUUGACAUGAAUUCUCAAGAAUAAGAUAUGUAGGCGGUCUAUGUCUACCUCGAUCAUAUCCAUAUCAAAAUUUCCUAUUUCUUUUUAUCUCCCGAUGGGAACUACAUUUGACCUGAUUCCUACCUCAACGGGAUACGUAGGUGCCACACCGGCUCAGUCAUAUUCCCCAUAAGAUUUUCAUUUCCCUUUAUAAUGAAAACUGGGCAGAAUUUUGAGAGGAUCUCCAACAUUCUUGAAAAUAUGGAUUUCUCCAACAUGUCAGAAUCAGAGAUCUCAUUGAAAUUGCAACUGGGGAAGAAUUUUUGAGAUUCUCUUAAAAAUUCAAUCAGAAACUAUGAGAAAGUUCAAGAGUUUUCAUAUAUCUAAACUGGGUAGAAUAUUUUAGGAGGGUCCUCAAAAAUUCUAUCAAGCCUACACUUUGAGACCAGACAAGCUUGCAAGACAGACGCUAGAGUAGCAUCAAGAUGGCAAGGCAAAGCCAAUAUAAAUCAAUCUCUCAAAAAAUAAGAAUUUUUCUUUGGAUGCAGGAACUAUAAAGUCAUAAGGGAUCGUUAGACCCACAGUGGCCUCAUCAUAAUUCAGGUAAAAUAGUCCAGCACAAUAGCUAAAAUGAUGAUAUGCCAUCCAAACUGAUAUAAGCUGAAUGACUUCAUUUUUAAAACUUAUCUUCUGUUAUACCAUUUAUUCUUAUAAUUUUAUUACUCCUUACAUUUGAACUUCACAGGUGUCAUUGUUAUAAUUGGAGACAAAAUUUCAAAGAUCCUCCCAAAAUUUUAAGAAUUAAGCCAGACGUUCUUCUAGAAUCUUACGUUCUUCUCGGCUACCAGAUCAUCAUGACAAUAUUUAAAUGUUUUGACAUAUGUUAAACUCUUUAUUUUCAAAAAUAACAAAUUCUCUGUGAGCGAA